UCCUACUUGAAUCAAGCUUUCAAUGAGGCAUUUUUCUGGUUAGUUGGAAAUGAGUCCCAUAGAUUUUUUUUUUUCUGGUUUUGAGAGUCUUAUCUUCGCAGAGUCUCCUGAGUAGUUGGGGUUACAGGGGUGAUCUCCAGUACCAGAGCUUCAUCAAUUCUUUCUCUAGCCUCAAAAAAUAUUUAGCUAAGUCUGUCGGUUUUGUAGUAAGCAGCAACUGCUUUGUUAACUAUUUGUAAUUUGGUAUAAUACUAAAAUUUUAUACUAAGGCACCUAUUCUGUUUGCAAUUCAUUUUUUCUAAUGUGAAUUACUGAGCUGUGUGCAUUACUUCCUGUUUAAGUUCACUAUUAUGCACCAAAAUACCAAUUUUGUAUUUGUAUGGAGUGGGUGGUAUUGUCAUCAGAGAAUAGACCAUUGAGUUUCCACACAAAAAUCAUAUAGGUCUUUCACAUCCAAGUUCCAAACAAAUAACAUCAUACCAGGAUGUCUCACAAAGAGGAGUAGCACAAGUUGAAAGUUUUAGCAAGGGUUUAUUUUUAGCAUGACAGGUUAAUGGAUAGAGAAGAGAAAUAUUUCCUGUUUUCCAUGCAGGAGAUAAACAGUCUAAGGAGGGCUGUUAUCUGCUGCCUUUGUUCUUUGUGAGCUUGGGGAAAAGCACUGGCCUUAUUUUCUAGCAACCCUCACUCAUUAGGCAAUGGCUCUGGGUGUCUAAGAUCCCUGUUGCUUAUUCUUUUUAAAUGUGGGUUUACAGGCACAACAGGAGGCCUUUCGAGCUUCCUUUCUUCAGAUUAUUCUCUCAGCCAGCUGUUUCAAACCAUUUACAGAGACCUGCCUGGCCAUCCCUCCCCCCCACCCACCCCGCCCCCCACCCCCAUUUCAAAGAAGAGAGUUGUUUUAGAUGGUUAGCCCCUUUUAUACCUCCAGGACUUGUAAUUUAGCAUUUAAAUUUGUUAGCUGAGUGGACAGCCUCCAAUCUGCGGGCUAGGAGCCAGGAUGUCUGUGAAACCAACAACUCCAGGCACUGGGUUGGCUGUGACUCAAGUUUCCCCACUACAUAACCUGAGUGUGUGAUCCCUUUUUUGUUAACAAAUUUUUAUUUAUUGGCCACAUUUUUU